UCUGAAAAUCCAGUUCCUCAAGACAGA
rnacentral:piRNA from 1 species